GCGCCGGAGUCGGUUCAAUGUGUCAUGGAGGUGACGGAGAAGUUGGAGGUCAGUGGCUGCAGCGUGUGUUUGAUGUCGAGCGCCGUGCGAGGGUCCCGCAGCGCCGGAGUCGGUUCAAUGUGUCAUGGAGGUGACGGAGAAGUUGGAGGUCAGUGGCUGCAGCGUGUGUUUGAUGUCGAGCGCCGUGCGAGGGUCCCGCAGCGCCGGAGUCGGUUCAAUGUGUCAUGGAGGUGACGGAGAAGUUGGAGGUCAGUGGCUGCAGCGUGUGUUUGAUGUCGAGCGCCGUGCGAGGGUCCCGCAGCGCCGGAGUCGGUUCAAUGUGUCAUGGAGGUGACGGAGAAGUUGGAGGUCAGUGGCUGCAGCGUGUGUUUGAUGUCGAGCGCCGUGCGAGGGUCCCGCAGCGCCGGAGUCGGUUCAAUGUGUCAUGGAGGUGACGGAGAAGUUGGAGGUCAGUGGCUGCAGCGUGUGUUUGAUGUCGAGCGCCGUGCGAGGGUCCCGCAGCGCCGGAGUCGGUUCAAUGUGUCAUGGAGGUGACGGAGAAGUUGGACGUCAGUGGCUGCAGCGUGUGUUUGAUGUCGAGCGCCGUGCGAGGGUCCCGCAGCGCCGGAGUCGGUUCAAUGUGUCAUGGAGGUGACGGAGAAGUUGGAGGUCAGUGGCUGCAGCGUGUGUUUGAUGUCGAGCGCCGUGCGAGGGUCCCGCAGCGCCGGAGUCGGUUCAAUGUGUCAUGGAGGUGACGGAGAAGUUGGAGGUCAGUGGCUGCAGCGUGUGUUUGAUGUCGAGCGCCGUGCGAGGGUCCCGCAGCGCCGGAAUCGGUUCAA